rnacentral:rRNA from 1 species
CCCUUAGAUGUUCUGGGCCGCACGCGCGCUACACUGAUGCAUUCAACGAGUCUAAAACCUGGUCUGAUAGGGCUGGGUAAUCUUUUGAAAGUGCAUCGUGAUUGGGAUAGAUGAUUGCAAUUCUUCAUCUUCAACGAGGAAUGCCUAGUAAACGCAAGUCAUCAGCUUGCAUUGAUUACGUCCCUGCCCUUUGUACACACCGCCCGUCGCUCCUACCGAUUGAAUGAUCCGAUGAAUACCAUGGAUUGAGAGUACGAAUAGGUUCGCUUAUUUCUGCUGCUCGAGAAGUGGAGUAAAUCUUNUNAUUUAGNGGAAGGAGAANUCGUANCA